CAAGUUGUGCUACCAUAUCAAGAUUUAUCUCAUAUAUCUCUCAUCAACGAAGCUUCUGUUGCCAUAUCUCUCUAAAGCGAGCCGUCCCAAGGAAACCUCCGUCCAUUUCAAGUAGUCUCGAAUCAUAAUUUUUUAUCGUUCCGUUCAUAAUUUGCAGAACUUCCUAUCGGCGACAGCGAGAAGUGCAGUGGAAUUGGAAGAUUCAACUUGAAAAAUGUCUUCUGCAUCAUGAAAUAAGAAACGACGGACUAAUCUGUAAAUUACGAGACCACAAAUCAACUCCACCCAUAUACUAUUUUGCUUUGUAAUUUAUAAUAUGUAUCUACUGAUUUUGAUCUAUCUCGGAUCAAUUUCAAAAGUUUCCUGUGAAAUUAUGAACUUGUGUUUGAUUUCUCAGUCUGAUUAUCGAUCAGGGGAAGGAAUGUUGCGGCGUAUGCGAGCUGAGCAACAAAACAAAUUGAAACCGAAACCUCUUUUUUUUUUUUCCAUAGUCGGUUAUUAGAUGUACGUGAGAUAGAUUAGGGUUUAAAUAUUUAUUUAUAUAAUUGAUGAAUUCCCAUAAUUUAAAUAGCCCACACAUAUAAAUGAAACCCAAUUAAAAUAAAGGUCCAAAUUAAUGUAAUCAUUUACUAAUUAUGAUCCACAAUAAUUAAAUAUAAUUUGACCCA
rnacentral:lncRNA from 1 species